rnacentral:lncRNA from 12 species
UGGUCUUUUAUUAAUUCAGACUUGGGUUAUUUUAGCAAAGAUAAGAGAUCAGCAACAGACAAGUUUCUUUGUUGCUUAUUUACAAUAGUGUACCUAAUCCCAGUUUGUUUGUUUGUUUUCAGAUUUUUUGUUUUAAAUACAUGAAAACCCAGACAACCAGAGAACUUUUCUUCGCUUGCACACCUGACCAAACACCUUGACAUGUCUUUUUUAUCAGCAAUGCUCCCAAAGUAGGUUGGAUCUGGGUCUGGAUGUCUCUGUGGAUCUUGCAUUAAGUGAUCUAACUAAACCUGCCUGGAAAGCAUUUGUCACAGCAAGGAACAUGCCACUCUUCUCUAAUAUUCCUAACAGCACAUAUAAAAGCAGGUAGGUAG